GGUGGUGGUGCAUGGCCG
rnacentral:ncRNA from 2 species